rnacentral:sRNA from 1 species
GUCACCGAGUCCGCAGGGCGCAAUGCGCCACCGGUCGAAGAAGCCGU